AUGAUUUACUGGAAUGAAUUAACUUCCAGGAACGUGGGGGGAAUAGGAACACAGCUCCUGCUUUUUAACUACAAUCCUGAAGGAAGAAGAUGCAGGUCUGACCCUUUAAUGCCUAGUCAAACAAUGCAGCUGCACGUUCAAGCUGUUUAAGUGCAGAGAAUGCUAUACAGUGGAUCCUGGUUCUUAAUUGCUCAUUGUUCUGCAUUGAACAGCACCUUCAAUUAUCGUUUGAUUACCAUGUAAAAGUGGCUUUUGUUGUUCUAUUUGCAUUUUGGCAACACAAACACCACUGAAGGAACUCUUGAGUGAGUAGUCCCAUAUUGCCUUGGCACUAAAUGUUUUCCUCUCCUCCCUAAGGAAGUGUGGGGGAGUUUGCUCAAUUGCAGGUUUUUAUUUUAAUGGGUUUAUUACACUUCCUGAAACCAAACACGAAUCUAAAUACUAUUUUUGCUCAAGGAUUUGUACAGAUGGAAUCUGAUGUAUAUUCUAAAGAACCAUAGUGGUAGUGGUGGUAUCAUCCUUAUGACCACCAUAAUCUUGAGCCUAUUUAGAAAUGUGCAUUUCUAACACAUACAAAAAACAUACCUGUGUCCAAGAAUGCAUACUGUUGAAAAGUAUGGAUAAAAACCUAUAUAGAUCUAUAGAUCUGCAUAGGAGAAAGGAUGGAAUAAGCUUUGUGGUGGAAACCUAAGGACCUCAUCAAGAUCAUCCUUGACACAUCCACACUCUUUCUCUGUGACAAGACAUGGAACAAUCCAUCAGUGAUAUAGACCAGGCUGUGGCGCAGCUGGUUAGUAGCCAGCUGCAAUAAAUUAUUACUGAUCGAGAGGGUCAUGAAUUCAAAUCCAGCCCUGGUUGGAGUGAGCUCCCAACCAUUUGGGCCGGGCUGUGGUGCAGGCUGUUGAGCAACCAGCUGCAGCCAGCUGCAAUGAAUCACUCUGACCAGGAGGUCAUGAGUUCGAGGCCAGCUCGGAGCCCCGUGCUUGUCUUGUCUUUGUUCUAUGUUAAGGCAUUGAAUGUUUGCCUUAUAUGUGUAAUGUGAUCCGCCCUGAGUCCCCUUUGGGGUGAGAAAGGCGGAAUAUAAAUACUGUAAAUAAAUAAAUAAAUAAAUUUAAUAGUCUAGCUCACUGUUGAUCUAUGCAGCUCAAAAUAUAGUUGCAUCUAUCGAGUAGAAAAUUUAGGUACCGCUUUGCGGGGAGGCUAAUUUAACUAAUUAAUGACACCAUAAAACCUUCCAGCAGCAUGCAGAAGAAUGAGGAAGUACUCCAUCAAGGACUCGGUGUCACAAGUGGACAGUGAAGUAGCAGUUCCCCCUGUGGCUGGAAUCGAGCAUACCCUCAUGAAGCCGGAAGCUGUAAUGUUAAAUUACCGCUGAGUCCGUCUAUAUAUAUUGUAUUGUCUAAUGGCAUUGAAUGUUUGC
rnacentral:lncRNA from 1 species